GAGACGGCUGGCUAGGAUCAAGCAGCAGCAAUGCAAGUGUCCCUCGCAGGUCAUGUUUAACACUGAAGCAAAACAAAUUUGCAUUGGUGUAAAACUACAACUAUUAGCUCUUUCACCUUGUCAGACAGUCCCUUCAAUCCAAGAAUAUACAACAUCUAGAAGAAAUAAAACCAAUGACAUAAUUAGUAAACAAUUUCAGCGACAAAAGGAUAAACAAAUUGGAUUUUUAAAACAAAACCUGCACCUGCACAAGUAUAUGUUAUAUUAACAAAAGUGCAGAUCCCGUCCCACUCUUCACUUUUUGACAAAAAACUUCCGAAUAGCAAUCUUGGUGAGUGAUCUCGACCGGGUUCGAUCGGCAUGGCGUGUCGUUCCUCCAGGAGUGGGUGCUGAGAGGAAGGAUGGCAAACCUCCAUUGUCAAUCGGCCGGAGCUGCAUCGUCAUUUGGAUCAGAGCAUGGACGAAAUCGAGAUGGUAGAGGUUGAGGAAUUUGUAGGACGUGAGGGUUUAGAGUGGGCAUCACGAGAACUUACCCAUAUCUUGGGAGACGGCAGACCCGAGGUGCAGUCGUGUUCGUGCUUCAGGGGCUGCCACGUGCUGUCCUCGCCGCCAUCGCCUGUCGAUGCCACUUCAGCGCCACGAGCAUGGGACUGAGGGACGAAGGGAAGAGAAGGGAAGGAAGCGAGCUAAUGACGUACCUAUGUUUGGUAUGUAAUACCCUCCAUUAAGAGUAGAUAUUUUCUUAAAAUCGGUUAUUUUGUUUCCUAAU
rnacentral:lncRNA from 1 species